rnacentral:rRNA from 1 species
GAUGAACGCUGGCGGCGUGCCUAAUACAUGCAAGUCGAGCGAACGGACGAGAAGCUUGCUUCUCUGAUGUUAGCGGCGGACGGGUGAGUAACACGUGGAUAACCGACAUAUAAGACUGGGAUAACUUCGGGAAACCGGAUCUAAUACCAGAUAAUAUUUUGAACCGCAUGGUUCAAAAGUGAAAGACGGUCUUGCUGUCACUUAUAGAUGGAUCCGGGCUGCAUUAGCUAGUUGGUAAGGUAACGGCUUACCAAGGCAACGAUGCAUAGCCGACCUGAGAGGGUGAUCAGCCACACUGGAACUGAGACACGGUCCAGACUCCUACGGGAGGCAGCAGUAGGGAAUCUUCCGCAAUGGGCGAAAGCCUGACGGAGCAACGCCGCGUGAGUGAUGAAGGUCUUCGGAUCGUAAAACUCUGUUAUUAGGGAAGAACAUAUGUGUAAGUAACUGUGCACAUCUUGACGGUACCUAAUCAGAAAGCCACGGCUAACUACGUG